GAUGAAGAACGCAGCGAAAUGCGAUAAGUAGUGUGAAUUGCAGAAUUCAGUGAAUCAUCGAAUCUUUGAACGCACAUUGCGCCCCCUGGUAUUCCAUGGGGCAUGCCUGUUCGAGCGUCAUUUGUACCUUCAAGCUUUGCUUGGUGUUGGGUGUUUGUCCCUCGGGACUCGCCUUAAAGUCAUUGGCAGCCAGUGUUUUGGUUUUGAAGCGCAGCACAAGUCGCGAUUCAAGGCUAUCCGCCCGCUUCCACAAGCCUUUUUCACUUUUGACCUCGGAUCAGGUAGGGAUACCCGCUGAACUUAAGCAUAUCAAUAAGCGGAGGA
rnacentral:misc_RNA from 1 species